rnacentral:rRNA from 1 species
AUUGAACGCUGGCGGCAUGCCUUACACAUGCAAGUCGAACGGCAGCACGGGAGCAAUCCUGGUGGCGAGUGGCGAACGGGUGAGUAAAGUAUCGGAACGUGCCCAGUCGUGGGGGAUAACGUAGCGAAAGUUACGCUAAUACCGCAUACGAUCUAUGGAUGAAAGCGGGGGAUCGCAAGACCUCGCGCGAUUGGAGCGGCCGAUACCAGCUUAGGUAGUUGGUGGGGUAAAGGCUCACCAAGCCGACGAUCUGUAGCUGGUCUGAGAGAACGCCCCGCCACACUGGGAAUGGGACACGGCCCAGACUCCUACGGGAGGCAGCAGUGGGGAAUUUUGGACAAUGGGCGAAAGCCUGAUCCAGCCAUGCCGCGUACAGGAUGAAGGCGUUCAGGUUGUAAACUGCUUUUGUACGGAACGAAAAGGUUUGGGCUAAUAAGCUGAGCCGAAGACGGUACCGUAAGAAUAAGCACCGGCUAACUACGUGCCAGCAGCCGCGGUAA